rnacentral:lncRNA from 1 species
AAUGUGUUGAAGCCUAGACAUUUGAAGGGAUUUAUUUAUAUUUUCUGAUUAAGACAUAGUGGAUAAAAUAAUCAAAAGAUAUUUUGUAAGCCUAUAGCCUAUCACAAGCCUAAGGUCCCACAUGCUGCAAGCAUCCUCACAUUAAUUUUUCAUACAGAGGCUUUACCCAGUUGUUGCAAGUCGUUGACAUAGUUAUCUCGCAAAACUCUCUCCUGAAACAAAUGUAUAGGCAUGUGUUCAAACACAUUCCCGGUAAAAGAAAAAAAAAGAAAAAGAAAAAAGUAAAGCUUUACUAAAAAAGAAAAAAAUAGGAAGAGAAAGACACCUACGUGACGUCAUCUUAGUCAGUCUCGUGUGUUUACGUGGAUAACAUGGCGCCGACUGUGUGGCUGUCGAAUGGAGUCAGCACUUAGCCUAGUGUGAGAAUCCGACGUGCUGUUAGGGCCGAGGAUAAGACUGCUUAAUGUUCACAUCCAGUCUUAUUUAAACACUUGGCUCCUAUUCAGCGACAAUUCGCAUGAAGCCCGUUUCUUUCUCCAACAGCUACAGGGACAACGGUUAUGGAAGACGAGGAGCGACAGAAAAAGCUAGAGGCCGGCAAGGCAAAGCUGGCCGAGUACCGUCAGCGGAAAGCCCAUGCUGACGGACAGAAGAAACAGAAGAAGAAGAAGAAGAAGAAGGGGGCGGAGGAGCCCUCCGUGAGGGAUGAAGGGGCUGAUUUAGAGCCUUCGGGUGGGGAGGACGUGGGGGGAGGUGAGACCAGAGAACCCCCCCAGACGGAGUUCACCUUCGCUCGCACCCUCCGCAGAGGCGAAACCGUCAAACACGACCAGACCUAUACCAUAGAGGUGAGUGGAUCUAAUCAUGUUCAGCAUUAUAUACUAAAUAAUCCGAUUUUAUAAUAAUAUAGUGUAGUAUAUAUACUAUAUGUAUUCUGUGUGUGUGUGUGUGUGUGUUUGUAAUAUAAUAUAUGUAGUAUAUAUGUAUAUACUGUGUAUAUAUAGUAUAUAUAGUUUAUGUGUAAUAAGUCAGGCACAGAAUAUAUGACCCCAUCAGUGGUGGGUGUUAUAGCAUGUAGUGGGGUGGAAGUGGACCUGAUCAGUUCCAUCUGGGUUACUAAUAGAGUACUGCCAGCAGGUGCGGAGUGUUCUCUCCGCCGUCUGCAGCUUAGUGCUCUCGCCGGGGCUUUUCUGCUGUGAUUGCCUCCGAAGUUUGCAAAGCAGGUGGCUAGUGUGUGCUCACAUUGGCUGGGGGGAAAUGAACGCUGUGUUAAUAAAAAGGGAAUAUUACAAUCGCA